rnacentral:lncRNA from 1 species
UUGUGCUUUUCCCAAGUCGCCUCACAGCAGUCAUCUGUCAAAGUGAGCUCUGGAGCUGACGGCCUACUUUACGUGUGGAGUAACUGCAGUCUGAGCUUCACCACUCCGAUUAGUUUCUGCUUUGUAAGCUCAGCUUCCGGUUCAGGGACCUCGCACGUGAACUGGGGAGACCUGCCGGGGCUCAGAAAUGACAGAAGUCAACACUUAAAGGCACAAGCACUUUUGGGCCUAACUCAGACAGCAAGAAGGCUGUUUUACUGGGCUGCGCCUCUCCUGAAGACUGCUGCUCUCCGGCCAUGUUCCUACAGCAGCCUCCAGAAGUGAAAAGCUUUGGCGAUCUUCUGCCGCAACAGAGGCAAUAUUGCAGUCGAACGACACAAAAGAAAUUCAGUGAAAAGACCUCGCAGCUCUGUCAGAUAACAUAAGCAUUCCCAGAACUGCAUGGCUCACAUACAGUAUGGCCAACUUGUGUUCGCCCCAGGGAGAAACGGGAAGCUUUGGCUGCACUUGACAGACAGAAACACACAUUAACCCUCCUCUGAGAAAGGUGUGGUGGCUCUGUGGCUCAGGAUCUGCUCCUGUGGCUGGAAGGUUGCCAGUUUGUAUCCCGUGGCCGGCAGAGGAAUCCUACUCCAUUGGGCCCCUGAGCAAGGCCAUUAACCCCAGCUGCUCCAGGGGUGCCGUAUAAACGGCUGACCCUGUGCUCUGACCCCCAGCUUCUCUCCCCGUCUGUGUGUCUCAUGGAGAGCAAGUUGGGGCAUGCAAAAAGACAAAUUCCUAAUGCGAGAAGUUGUAUGUAGCCAAUGAAGUGAUCACAUCAGACUGGAGCCAACAGGUUCCACUUGUUUCAUCGUUGUGCAAUGGCCAGCAUGAGGCAGGGACACCUGCUGAUACACGUAAGAAUGGAAGAAUCUAAGAAAGGCCACAAAAGAGAGAAGACUUUUUGGCCCGUCGAGCCCAUCUGUUAGUAAGAAGUUGAAAUAAACCAAGGUAUUCUAUCAGCUUCACUGACAUGGCUGGGUAGCUCGUUCCACACUCCCACAACCC